AUUGAACGCUGGCGGCAUGCUUUACACAUGCAAGUCGAACGGCAGCACGGGUGCUUGCACCUGGUGGCGAGUGGCGAACGGGUGAGUAAUGCACCGGAACGUAUCCAAUAAUGGGGGAUAACGCACCGAAAGGUGUGCUAAUACCGCAUACGCCCUGAGGGGGAAAGCGGGGGAUCGAAAGACCUCGCGUUAAUGGAGCGGCCGAUGUCGGAUUAGCUAGUUGGUGAGGUAAAGGCUCACCAAGGCGACGAUCCGUCGCUGGUCUGAGAGGACGACCAGCCACACUGGGACUGAGACACGGCCCAGACUCCUACGGGAGGCAGCAGUGGGGAAUUUUGGACAAUGGGCGAAAGCCUGAUCCAGCCAUGCCGCGUGAGUGAAGAAGGCCUUCGGGUUGUAAAGCUCUUUCGCAAGGAAAGAAAACUUAUCCACUAAUACUGGGUGAGGAUGACGGUACCUUGAUAAGAAGCACCGGCUAACUACGUGCCAGCAGCCGCCGUAA
rnacentral:rRNA from 1 species